CACGUAGGGCGCAAGCGUUGUCCGGAAUUAUUGGGCGUAAAGAGCUCGUAGGCGGUCUGUUGCGUCCGCUGUGAAAACUCGGGGCUUAACCCCGAGCCUGCAGUGGAUACGGGCAGACUAGAGGUAGGUAGGGGAGAAUGGAAUUCCCGGUGUAGCGGUGAAAUGCGCAGAUAUCGGGAGGAACAUCGGUGGCGAAGGCGGUUCUCUGGGCCUUACCUGACGCUGAGGAGCGAAAGCGUGGGGAGCGAACAGG
rnacentral:rRNA from 1 species